rnacentral:rRNA from 1 species
AUUGAACGCUGGCGGCAGGCUUAACACAUGCAAGUCGAGCGGAGAUGAGGUGCUUGCACCUUAUCUUAGCGGCGGACGGGUGAGUAAUGCUUAGGAAUCUGCCUAUUAGUGGGGGACAACAUUCCGAAAGGAAUGCUAAUACCGCAUACGUCCUACGGGAGAAAGCAGGGGAUCUUCGGACCUUGCGCUAAUAGAUGAGCCUAAGUCGGAUUAGCUAGUUGGUGGGGUAAAGGCCUACCAAGGCGACGAUCUGUAGCGGGUCUGAGAGGAUGAUCCGCCACACUGGGACUGAGACACGGCCCAGACUCCUACGGGAGGCAGCAGUGGGGAAUAUUGGACAAUGGGGGGAACCCUGAUCCAGCCAUGCCGCGUGUGUGAAGAAGGCCUUAUGGUUGUAAAGCACUUUAUGCGAGGAGGAGGCUACUUUAGUUAAUACCCAGAGAUAGUGGACGUUACUCGCAGAAUAAGCACCGGCUAACUCUGUGCCAGCAGCCGCCGUAAAAC